rnacentral:rRNA from 1 species
AGCAGCCGCGGUAAUUCCAGCUCCAAUAGCGUAUAUUAAAGUUGUUGCAGUUAAAAAGCUCGUAGUUGAAUUUCGGGGUCAGUAAGUUGGUCGUGCCACUGGUAUGUACUGGCUUUACUGAUUCCUCCUUCUUGUAGAACCGUAAUGCCAUUAAGUUGGUGUUGCGGGAAAACAGGACUGUUACUUUGAAAAAUUAGAGUGUUUAAAGCAAGCUAACGCUUGAAUACAUUAGCAUGGAAUAAUGAAAUAGGACGAACGAUCCUAUUUUGUUGGUUUCUAGGAUUGACGUAAUGAUUAAUAGGGAUAGUUGGGGGCAUUAGUAUUCAAUUGUCAGAGGUGAAAUUCUUGGAUUUAUUGAAGACUAACUACUGCGAAAGCAUUUGCCAAGAAUGUUCUCAUUAAUCAAGAACGAAAGUUAGGGGAUCGAAGACGAUCAGAUACCGUCGUAGUCUUAACCAUAAACUAUGCCGACUAGGGAUCGGAUGAUGUUAAUUUUUUAAUG